CUGGUACUCCCUCCGUCCCAAAAUACUUGUUGGAGCAAUGGAUAAAAAAAUGGAUGUAUGUAGAACUAAAAUACGUCUAGAUACAUCCAUUUCUCCGACAAGUAUUUUUGGACGGAGGGAGUAUCAU
rfam:Triticum aestivum genome assembly, contig: Triticum_aestivum_CS42_TGACv1_scaffold_374656_5AL